CAAAGGCUUGGUCCUGACUUUAACAUCAACUUUAGCUAUACUUACACAUGCAAGUAUCCGCACCCCUGUGAGAAUGCCCCCCAGUUCCCCGUCCGGGAACAAGGAGCUGGUAUCAGGCACACUUUGAAGCCCACGACGCCUUGCUUAGCCACACCCCCAAGGGAAUUCAGCAGUGACAAACAUUAAGCUAUAAGUGAAAACUUGACUUAGUUAAAGCUAAGAGGGCCGGUAAAACUCGUGCCAGCCACCGCGGUUAUACGAGAGGCCCAAGUUGAUGAACAUCGGCGUAAAGAGUGGUUAAGCUAAAAUUAAAACUAAAGCCGAACGUCCCCAAAGCUGUUAUACGCACCCGGGGGUAAGAAGUUCAACCACGAAGGUGGCUUUAUUAAACCUGAACCCACGAAAGCUACGGCACAAACUGGGAUUAGAUACCCCACUAUGCCUAGCCCUAAACAUUGAUAGAAUUUUACAACCUCUAUCCGCCCGGGGACUACAAGCAUCAGCUUGAAACCCAAAGGACUUGGCGGUGCUUUAGAUCCACCUAGAGGAGCCUGUUCUAGAACCGAUAACCCCCGUUCAACCUCACCCCUCUUUGUUAAUACCGCCUAUAUACCACCGUCGUCAGCUUACCCUGUGAGGGAUCAAUAGUAAGCUUAACUGGUACAACCCUAAACGUCAGGUCGAGGUGUAGCGUAUGGAGGGGGAAGAAAUGGGCUACAUUCGCUACAACAGCGAACACGAAUGAUGUCCUGAAACGUACAUCUGAAGGAGGAUUUAGCAGUAAGUAGAAAAUAGAGUGUUCUACUGAAAUUGGCCCUGAAGCGCGCACACAUCGCCCGUCACUCUCCCCAAGCCUAAUAAUACAAUUAACUAAAAACUAAUAAUUGCAAAGGGGAGGCAAGUCGUAACAUAGUAAGUGUACCGGAAGGUGCACUUGGAAAAG
rnacentral:ncRNA from 1 species